rnacentral:rRNA from 1 species
UACGGGGGGAGCAAGCGUUGUUCGGAUUUACUGGGCGUAAAGGGCGCGUAGGCGGUCAGCACAAGUCAGUUGUGAAAUCUCCGGGCUUAACCCGGAAAGGUCAACUGAUACUGUGCGACUAGAGUGCGGAAGGGGUAACUGGAAUUCUCGGUGUAGCGGUGAAAUGCGUAGAUAUCUGGAGGAACACCGGUGGCGAAGGCGGCGUCCUGGACCAACACUGACACUGAGGAGCGAAAGCCAGGGGAGCAAACGGG